AGUGAACGCUGGCGGUAGGCCUAACACAUGCAAGUCGAACGGCAGCACAGUAAGAGCUUGCUCUUUCGGGUGGCGAGUGGCGGACGGGUGAGGAAUACAUCAGAAUCUACUUUUUCGUGGGGGAUAACGUAGGGAAACUUACGCUAAUACCGCAUACGACCUACGGGUGAAAGCAGGGGAUCUUCGGACCUUGCGCGAUUGAAUGAGCCGAUGUCGGAUUAGCUAGUUGGCGGGGUAAAGGCCCACCAAGGCGACGAUCCGUAGCUGGUCUGAGAGGAUGAUCAGCCACACUGGAACUGAGACACGGUCCAGACUCCUACGGGAGGCAGCAGUGGGGAAUAUUGGACAAUGGGCGCAAGCCUGAUCCAGCCAUACCGCGUGGGUGAAGAAGGCCUUCGGGUUGUAAAGCCCUUUUGUUGGGAAAGAAAAGCAGCAGGUUAAUACCCCGCUGUUCUGACGGUACCCAAAGAAUAAGCACCGGCUAACUUCGUG
rnacentral:rRNA from 1 species